rnacentral:lncRNA from 12 species
CACGGACUUGUGAUAAGGGGGGGUAAGGUGUGCCUAUGUUAAUGUCAAGCCACAUCCCUCUCCAAGCCCGAGUGACAUUUUUUCUGCAUGCAGUAGGUGUUUACAGGUGUGCUUUGCUAGAUCUUAUCAAUGAAGAGUAACUGGGUGGGAAUGUCUUGCCUGCCUCAACAAACCUCCCAAGAGCCACCCAACAGCUGCGUUGUGCCAAGGUCUCCAGUGCAACCCUGCAUUAUACAAACACGGGAAAUGCCAGUUUUUCUGAUUUGAAAUUAUGAAUUUUGAAGAACAAAAU